GAUGAACGCUGACAGAAUGCUUAACACAUGCAAGUCUACUUGAAUUUGGGUUUUUUAACUUCGAUUUGGGUGGCGGACGGGUGAGUAACGCGUAAAGAACUUGCCUCACAGCUAGGGACAACAUUUGGAAACGAAUGCUAAUACCUGAUAUUAUGAUUAUAAGGCAUCUUAGAAUUAUGAAAGCUAUAUGCGCUGUGAGAGAGCUUUGCGUCCCAUUAGCUAGUUGGAGAGGUAACGGCUCACCAAGGCGAUGAUGGGUAGCCGGCCUGAGAGGGUGAGCGGCCACAAGGGGACUGAGACACGGCCCUUACUCCUACGGGAGGCAGCAGUGGGGAAUAUUGGACAAUGGACCAAGAGUCUGAUCCAGCAAUUCUGUGUGCACGAUGACGUUUUUCGGAAUGUAAAGUGCUUUCAGUUGGGAAGAAAAAAAUGACGGUACCAACAGAAGAAGUGACGGCUAAAUACGUG
rnacentral:rRNA from 1 species